AUGCUUCUGUGAUGUUUUAGCACUGGGCUCUGAAAUUAUCUGAGGACACUGUGCGGUUCUGUUCCUUGACAUGGCAGAAUCUGAGAAGCGC